CCUAUCUCCAUUAGAUCUCAACUGGAGUACUGUGUUUAAUUUUGAGUACCAUGGUUUAAAGAAGGCCAUUGACAAUCUGGAGCAUCUAUAGAUAGGCAACUAGGAUAUUGAAAGACUUUGAGUCCAUUUCAUAUGAAGACUGGCUGAAUUAAUUUGGACAUUUUUAAUUUGGAGCAGAGAAGAUUCAUGGUGGAUGGGAUUCAUAGUUAUCUUCAGAUGGAUUGCUGGUCAGGGUAAAGAGUGUGGAAGAGGCAUGGAGGAAGAGAGAAUUUCAAGCAUGCAAGAAACAAAGCUGGGGACCUGAUCUGUCAAUCAAGGUGAAGAUUCCAAAACAGAAUAUUCCCAGGAAAGGCAGUUGGAGCUGGCCAGAGGAGAUGAACUGAGAUUUCCUCUCUGGGGGGUUACUGACCAAAGGAACAAAACCUCUUCUCUGGGGUUCCUGAAUAAGGGAGAGACUGGCUUUUUCUGAUCUAGGCAGAGAGAGACCUUUUGGAGGGCUUCUGGAAUGAACCUGAGAAGAAAUUUACUUUUGUUGGUGGCUUCGUGUAAUUGGAAGAAGAAAGAAGUUUUAACAGUUGUCUUCCAUCUCUCUGGCUGUCUCUGAGUCACAGUUGUGACUGGACCGACAUUUCCCAAACCCUCCUAAUUCUCUUUGUAGAUUAGGGGCAACCUCAUCCUUCUUACCUCAGUUCUCCAUCCUGUUGUUUCCAAUAAACCUUCUUACUUGAGAAAAGGAGAGUAAAGA
rnacentral:lncRNA from 1 species